rnacentral:rRNA from 1 species
AGAGUUUGAUCAUGGCUCAGAUUGAACGCUGGCGGCAUGCCUUACACAUGCAAGUCGAACGGUAACGCGGGGCAACCUGGCGACGAGUGGCGAACGGGUGAGUAAUACAUCGGAACGUGUCCAAUAGUGGGGGGAUAGCCCGGCGAAAGCCGGAUUAAUACCGCAUACGACCUACGGGUGAAAGCGGGGGAUCGAAAGACCUCGUGCUAUCGGAGCGGCCGAUGUCAGAUUAGGUAGUUGGUGGGGUAAAGGCCUACCAAGCCGACGAUCUGUAGCUGGUCUGAGAGGACGACCAGCCACACUGGGACUGAGACACGGCCCAGACUCCUACGGGAGGCAGCAGUGGGGAAUUUUGGACAAUGGGCGCAAGCCUGAUCCAGCCAUGCCGCGUGCGGGAAGAAGGCCUUCGGGUUGUAAACCGCUUUUGUCAGGGAAGAAACGCGCCGAGCCAAUACCUUGGCGUAAUGACGGUACCUGAAGAAUAAGCACCGGCUAACUACGUGCCAGCAGCCGCGGUAAUACGUAGGGUGCAAGCGUUAAUCGGAAUUACUGGGCGUAAAGCGUGCGCAGGCGGCUUUGCAAGACAGAUGUGAAAUCCCCGGGCUCAACCUGGGAACUGCAUUUGUGACUGCAUGGCUGGAGUGCGGCAGAGGGGGAUGGAAUUCCGCGUGUAGCAGUGAAAUGCGUAGAUAUGCGGAGGAACACCGAUGGCGAAGGCAAUCCCCUGGGCCUGCACUGACGCUCAUGCACGAAAGCGUGGGGAGCAAACAGGAUUAGAUACCCUAGUAGUCC